GAAAUGCGAUAAGUAGUGUGAAUUGCAGAAUUCAGUGAAUCAUCGAAUCUUUGAACGCACAUUGCGCCCCUUGGUAUUCCAUGGGGCAUGCCUGUUCGAGCGUCAUUUGUACCUUCAAGCUUUGCUUGGUGUUGGGUGUUUGUCUCGCCUCUGCGUGUAGACUCGCCUCAAAACAAUUGGCAGCCGGCGUAUUGAUUUCGGAGCGCAGUACAUCUCGCGCUUUGCACUCAUAACGAUGACGUCCAAAAGUACAUUUUUACACUCUUGACCUCGGAUCAGGUAGGGAUACCCGCUGAACUUAAGC
rnacentral:misc_RNA from 1 species